rnacentral:rRNA from 1 species
AUUGAACGCUGGCGGCAGGCCUAACACAUGCAAGUCGAGCGGAUGAAGAGAGCUUGCUCUCUGAUUUAGCGGCGGACGGGUGAGUAAUGCCUAGGAAUCUGCCUGGUAGUGGGGGAUAACGUUCCGAAAGGAACGCUAAUACCGCGUACGUCCUACGGGAGAAAGCAGGGGACCUUCGGGCCUUGCGCUAUCAGAUGAGCCUAGGUCGGAUUAGCUAGUUGGUGAGGUAAUGGCUCACCAAGGCGACGAUCCGUAACUGGUCUGAGAGGAUGAUCAGUCACACUGGAACUGAGACACGGUCCAGACUCCUACGGGAGGCAGCAGUGGGGAAUAUUGGACAAUGGGCGAAAGCCUGAUCCAGCCAUGCCGCGUGUGUGAAGAAGGUCUUCGGAUUGUAAAGCACUUUAAGUCGGGAGGAAGGGCUGUAGGUUAAUACCUUGCAGCCUUGACGUUACCGACAGAAUAAGCACCGGCUAACUUCGUGCCAGCCGCCGCCGUAAAAC